rnacentral:rRNA from 1 species
AUUGAACGCUGGCGGCAUGCCUUACACAUGCAAGUCGAACGGCAGCACGGGUGCUUGCACCUGGUGGCGAGUGGCGAACGGGUGAGUAAUACAUCGGAACAUGUCCUGUAGUGGGGGAUAGCCCGGCGAAAGCCGGAUUAAUACCGCAUACGAUCCACGGAUGAAAGCGGGGGACCUUCGGGCCUCGCGCUAUAGGGUUGGCCGAUGGCUGAUUAGCUAGUUGGUGGGGUAAAGGCCUACCAAGGCGACGAUCAGUAGCUGGUCUGAGAGGACGACCAGCCACACUGGGACUGAGACACGGCCCAGACUCCUACGGGAGGCAGCAGUGGGGAAUUUUGGACAAUGGGCGAAAGCCUGAUCCAGCAAUGCCGCGUGUGAAGAAGGCCUUCGGGUUGUAAAGCACUUUUGUCCGGAAAGAAAUCCUUGACUCUAAUACAGUCGGGGGAUGACGGUACCGGAAGAAUAAGCACCGGCUAACUACGUG